rnacentral:lncRNA from 1 species
CUGAUUGUUAAAUUUUAAAGCAUCCCAAAGUUUGGUUUCACACUUGAAUGAAUACCAUUUGCAAGAUUAUUGCCACAAAUCCAGACACAUCUGUAUUCAAAGGAAGAAGCAGAGAAGAUUGGGCUAUGGUGGAUGCAGAGAGAAAGACGGAAUUGGAUAUGGAAUGGCAGAAGCUAUGACAAACUGCAAGAGUGCCUGGCUGUCACUGUUUAAAAAAUUAUAAUGUUUCUCAAAGAAAUUCCAAAGAACAUAGAAAGGAGACCACAGGAAGAAUCCAGAACUGCUGCCCAUCAUAAAAUUUUUCCAUCUGCAAUUUGUGUCUACAGUGUGCCAGUUAUUGAUGAGGGUGAGGCUGAAGGUGGGACAGUGUGGGGGAGAUUUUUUAAUUGCUCCCCAAUUACCAUAUUCCUCUUUUCUUUUCUUUUUUCUUUUUGAGACAGAGUCUCGCUCUAUAGACCAGGCUAGAGUGCAGCGGCGCAAUCUCGGCUCACUGCAACCUCCGCCUCCCGGGUUCAAGCAAUUCUCUGCCUCAGCCUCCCGAGUAGCUGGGAUUACAGGCGCCUGCCACCAUGCCCAGCUAAUUUUUGUAUUUUUAGUAGAGAUGGGGUUUCACCACCUUGGCCAGGCUCGUCUCGAACUCCUGACCUUGUGAUC